rnacentral:rRNA from 1 species
GAAGGCCCCACUGUCUUAAGAGAAUUCCCAGUGAAAUUGAAUUCGUAGUGAAGAUGCUACGUCCAAUUUGUUAGACGAAAAGACCCCAUUGAGCUUUACUGGAGUCUUACAUUGCUCGGAUCAACUCUCGCCCCCCCCUUGGCGGGGGGGGGUCGAAUUUAAAUGGAUAGCUUAGAUUAUGUGGUGUCAUAACCGUCGAUCAAGUAGUCCUUACAGGAUUGCCCCCCCGAAGGUUGACCUAUUUGGGUGAAUGAAACCCCACUCUUCUUUGUUAAAUGAGCUAACCCUUUUUCUCCCUUAAAGGGGACAAUGUAAGUUGGACAGUUUGGUUGGGGCGACCGCCUUUUAAAGAGUAACGAAGGUGUGCUUAAGGUACAUAAUUUAUAACACAAGCCUGACUGCGAGGGGGACCCUCCGAGCAGACACCUAAAGUCUUCUCCCUUCCCCUCGAAGGUUAAAGACGAAUGGUGGGUUAUAGUGACCCGUUAAUUUAGAGUGGAAUAGUUAACGAUCAACGAAUAAAAGUUACCAUGGGGA